rnacentral:lncRNA from 10 species
CCACCACCAAUCCGAGAUGUCACAUCAGUGAAAGGAGAGGCUUUGGGGUGGCUUGGAUGCCUCACCUACGAGGAACAUUGCUGCCGCUGACCACUGCUCCUCCUCCCUGGGCCUCUCUCAUGCCUGGACUCUGCACCCUGCCUCACCACCUUCCAGUGUCGCAGGAGUGCCCUGGCUCAUUUCUUGUCCCCUGUCUUCUCUCACCCCUUGGCCAUAUUUGUGUUCUUCCCCUUGGCUUAGUCACCCUCCAUGUCUACUGCCUGCAGGCUGG